rnacentral:lncRNA from 1 species
CACACCUCACUCCUUCUUCUUCUCCCCUUGUCUACGGCCCAAACCACACACACACACUCCUCCAUUUUCAUUCCAUUCUCAUACAAUCCAAGGGUUCCCUAAGGUGUCUUAAGCAUAUCUAAGAAGCUUGGAAGCAUUGGAAGUAGAAGGACCUCAUCUAGGAGCUUUUAUCCAUCACUUUUCUCAUCAUCUUCACACUUGUUUCUUCCCUAGCUUGAAAGCUAGUAUAAUAUGAUGGACGUGCUUGAUUUCCUGAAUAUUUGAGUAAUUAAUCUAACCGAGCAAAC